rnacentral:lncRNA from 1 species
UCAGGUGAUACCUUUUCCCUUCUUUAUUUUUGGAGACAUGUUUAUGCAUUGAGGACAAUGUAACUUUUAGUUGGGGAGAGGAUACAUUUUUUUUGUGAAUUGCAUUCCAUGAUAAAUUGUGUGAUCAUGGAAUUGUGAAAAAGUUUACAUUUUUGCCUGGACUUCUAAGUUGCUGCAUGUCUAUGCCUAUGUGCUUGAGUGACAAAAUAUGCCACUAGGAGUUGGUUGUGUUUAUGAGAAUCUGGAUAUCAGGACACUUGCUAUAUUUCAUUUUGUGCACACAAGCCUUGUGGUAAGAUAGUGGUUUAACACAUGUAACUAGAGGAAUCUCCUGCUAGAGCCUUCUUUAGAGAGAAUUGGUGAGGAUUGAGAGUUAUCACAUAUUAAAAAUGUAAUAAGUGUUCAUUGAUUGUGUGAAUUGGAAACUUCUUCUGAGAAUGACAUUACAUGGUAUGUGGUAAGACGGUGGUUUGUACUUGAAAAAUGAUAACAGUCAAUUUAGGAUUGAAUUUGAGCCUUCAGACUAGUUCUUUUCCAUAAUUAUAAUCCCUUAGUAGCC